rnacentral:rRNA from 1 species
AUCAGGCCUAACACAUGCAAGUCGAGCGCGCCCUUCGGGGUGAGCGGCGGACGGGUUAGUAACGCGUGGGAAUAUACCCUUUGGUACGGAAUAGCCUCUGGAAACGGAGAGUAAUACCGUAUGAGCCCUUCGGGGGAAAGAUUUAUCGCCAAAGGAUUAGCCCGCGUUAGAUUAGGUAGUUGGUGGGGUAAUGGCCUACCAAGCCUACGAUCUAUAGCUGGUUUUAGAGGAUGAUCAGCAACACUGGGACUGAGACACGGCCCAGACUCCUACGGGAGGCAGCAGUGGGGAAUCUUGGACAAUGGGGGCAACCCUGAUCCAGCCAUGCCGCGUGAGUGAUGAAGGCCUUAGGGUCGUAAAGCUCUUUCGCCUGUGAAGAUAAUGACGGUAGCAGGUAAAGAAACCCCGGCUAACUCCGUGCCAGCAGCCGCGGUAAUACGGAGGGGGUUAGCGUUGUUCGGAAUUACUGGGCGUAAAGCGCACGUAGGCGGAUCGGAAAGUUGGGGGUGAAAUCCCGGGGCUCAACCCCGGAACUGCCUCCAAAACUAUCGGUCUAGAGUUCGAGAGAGGUGAGUGGAAUUCCGAGUGUAGAGGUGAAA